rnacentral:rRNA from 1 species
UACGUAGGGUGCGAGCGUUGUUCGGCAUUAUUGGGCGUAAAGGGCUCGUAGGCGGUUUGUCGCGUCGGGAGUGAAAACGCCGUGCUUAACACGGCGCUUGCCUUCGAUACGGGCAGACUAGAGGUAUGCAGAGGAGAGCGGAAUUCCUGGUGUAGCGGUGAAAUGCGCAGAUAUCAGGAGGAACACCGGUGGCGAAGGCGGUUCUCUGGGCAUUACCUGACGCUGAGGAGCGAAAGUGUGGGGAGCAAACAGG